rnacentral:ncRNA from 1 species
CCCGCUGAACUUAAGCAUAUCAAUAAGCGGAGGAAAAGAAAAUAACUAUGAUUCCCUUAGUAACGGCGAGUGAACAGGGAAAAGCCCAAAUUUGUAAUCUGGCACUUUUUACAAGUGUCCGAGUUGUAAUUUGUAGAACUGUUAUCCGCGCUGGACCAUGUACAAGUCUGUUGAAAAGCAGCAUCAUUGAAGGUGAAAAUCCUGUAGAUGAUAUGGACUACCAGUGCAUUUGUGAUACGGUUUCUAAGAGUCGAGUUGUUUGGGAAUGCAGCUCAAAGUGGGUGGUAAAUUCCAUCUAAGGCUAAAUAUAAGUGAGAGACCGAUAGCAAACAAGUACCGUGAGGGAAAGAUGAAAAGAACUUUGAAAAUAGAGUUAACAGUACGUGAAAUUGCUGAAAGGGAAACGUUUGAAGUUAGUUUUGUAUUCGUUGGAUCAGCUUCGCAAGGAGUGUAUUCUGAUGAUAAGCAAGUCAACAUCAAUCUAUGAGUGUCGGAGAAGGGUUUUGAGAAUGUAGCAAUUUUUAUUAAUUGUGUUAUAGCUUGAGACUUGGAUACGAUGCUUUGGAUUGAGGAACGCGUAGUAAGCUUUGAGCGGAUUCGAAAGGAUCUCCUUACUAUGGAUGUUGGUGAAAUAACUUUAAGCGACCCGUCUUGAAACACGG